AUCGCUUCUCGGCCUUUUGGCUAAGAUCAAGUGUAGUAUCUGUUCUUAUCAGUUUAAUAAAGUGAAGUCAGUCAACAUGGUUGUGUGUUUUUCAACAAACCCUUU
rnacentral:snRNA from 1 species